AUUGAACGCUGGCGGCAGGCCUAACACAUGCAAGUCGAGCGAGCGGCGGACGGGAGCGUAAUGUCUGGGAAACUGCCAGAUGGAGGGGGAUAACUACUGGAAACGGUAGCUAAUACCGCAUACCAUCAGAUGUGCCCAGAUGGGAUUAGCUAGUAGGUGGGGUAAUGGCUCACCUAGGCGACGAUCCCUAGCUGGUCUGAGAGGAUGACCAGCCACACUGGAAUGGAGACACGGUCCAGACUCCUACGGUAGGCAGCAGUGGGGAGUAUUGCACAAUGGGCGCAAGCCUGAUGCAGCCAUGCCGCGUGUGUGAAGUAGGCCUUCUGGUUGUAAAGCACUUUCAGCGGGGAGGCGUUAACCGCAGAAGAAGCACCGGCUAACUCCGUGCGAGCAGCCGCGGUAAUUC
rnacentral:rRNA from 1 species